GGGGAUUUGGCUCAGUGGUAUAAGUGUCUGUCUGACAAGCACAAGGUUGUAAGUUCAAUCCCCA
rnacentral:tRNA from 1 species